rnacentral:rRNA from 1 species
UACGUAGGGGGCUAGCGUUGUCCGGAUUUAUUGGGCGUAAAGAGCGUGUAGGCGGCCAUGUAGGUCCGGUGUGAAAACUCGAGGCUUAACCUCGAGAUGUCAUCGGAAACCAUUUGGCUAGAGUCCGGAAGAGGAGAGUGGAGUUCCUGGUGUAGCGGUGAAAUGCGCAGAUAUCAGGAAGAACACCAAUGGCGAAAGCAGCUCUCUGGGACGGUACUGACGCUGAGACGCGAAAGCGUGGGGAGCGAACAGG